rnacentral:piRNA from 1 species
UCAGAAGCUUUACAGUCGAGCACAACGGC